rnacentral:rRNA from 1 species
UAGGGAAUCUUCGGCAAUGGGCGAAAGUCUGACCGAGCAACGCCGCGUGAGUGAAGAAGGUUCUCGGAUCGUAAAACUCUGUUGUUAGAGAAGAAUGUUGAUUAGAGUGGAAAAUUAAUCAAGUGACGGUAUCUAACCAGAAAGGGACGGCUAACUACGUGCCAGCAGCCGCGGUAAUACGUAGGUCCCGAGCGUUGUCCGGAUUUAUUGGGCGUAAAGCGAGCGCAGGUGGUUUAUUAAGUCUGGUGGACAAGGCAGUGGCUCAACCAUUGUAUGCAUUGGGAACUGGUAGACUUGAGUGCAGGAGAGGAGAGUGGAAUUCCAUGUGUAGCGGUGAAAUGCGUAGAUAUAUGGAGGAACACCGGUGGCGAAAGCGGCUCUCUGGCCUGUAACUGACACUGAGGCCCGAAAGCGUGGGGAGCAAACA